AAGGAAUUCACUUCUGAGUUGCAUGGAGUCUUGGACCUGCAGAGCCAGUGGCUGAAAACAACUUUGCCACCAUCUUUAUAUUCGUGUCAUGAACAUAAAUCAGUUGCAGACAAUCCUUUCUAUGGAAAAGUACUCUUCAGUGUAUUCUCCAUUAGAAAGGCAGCUGCUGGGCGUCCUGCAGUCAAGUAUUCCUGCAGAGCAAUGGGCUUCCAGAUGGUGUGGUGGUAAAGAAUCCAUCAGCAAUGCUGGAGACGCAGGAGA